rnacentral:tRNA from 1 species
AGCGAUAUAGCUUAAAUGGUUAGAGCGGGCCGGACAACGGUUGCGGGGUGGUUCGAUUCCACAUUUCGCUA